AUGCAACUAAUUCCUACAUGCACGUCCAAUCCUUAUCCUCUCAACGGAUCACAACUAACUAGAUGCACCACGUCCGCUGGUCGUGCGGUUCUCCACAACGACACAACCACACGUCUGCUAACGUGGCUAACAAUUCCCUCCUUAAUCUUGACACGCAUUGCCGUCGACCAUCGUCUUGAACCCCUUCCCUCGACGUCAUCACGCGCCUCCGCACCCGCUGCGACGUGCCGUGUGCCCGCCGUUGCCGGAGUUGAUGCAGCUCCCGUCGUUGAUGUCUCCACGAUCGUGACCCGCCUGCGGACCGGACCCGGCGCAACGACGCCGGUCGCACCGGCACGGACCCGACCUGGCGCACUGACGCCGGUCGCACCGUGCUCCGUCACGACUCCGGCGACACACGCCGAGCUCCUUCUCCGCCGGCGACACACGCCUGGCGUCCCUCUGCGCCCCGCACGUCCCGCGCGCACCCGACGCGCCCGACGAGCCCAACCGUACCAGUGCAUCCCGCACGUCCCGCGCGCACCCGACGCGCCCGACGAGCCCGACCGCACUAGACGCUCACCGCGCGCCGCCUCCGCGUCCGCCAUGGCAGCCGCCAACGAGAAACGCCGGAAGGAUGUAGCCGAACUCGAGUACGGACUCGAGCACAACGACGACAUACGCCUCCUCCCAACGUCAACCGCACGCUCGUACGCGCGCCCGGCGCGUCCAGUGCGCACCCAUAACACGCACGGGUCGCGCCCGGCUCGCCGCCACGGCUUAUUGCCCUGCACCGCUGCGCAGCACCUCCAUGCCGCCAUGCCGCUGUGUGCCGUUGAAGCCGCCACCACGCAGGUCCUCCGCGGCCUCCUCACCGUGCCGCCGCAGCCACCGUGGCCUCCUCGCUGCGCCGCGCACCUCCAUAGACCGACACACGGCACAGAGCUUCACCGCGCAGCCGCCGGCGAACGACGCCAUCGCCGGCACGCCUCCGGCAAGGGGACGACACCCAAGAUGAACCAGCUCUGA
rnacentral:rRNA from 1 species